GAUACAGUAGCUUGUUAAGGGAUGGAUAUAAUUACCAGUGUCCUGAAACACUUCUGUGGAUGUUCAUUAGUCUGCCUUUUACAGGCUGACAUGAAUCACCUUGUAGUAGGUGCCUCUGAACUUCCAAAGCUAUUGUUUUCUUGUAUCUCUAGCAUGCUCACAUUUCAAUAAAUAUCUUGAACUACCAUCUUAAAGAACAGCAUUUGAAAGGUGUGUGAAGUCAAUCCUGUGUUGCUGUGAGGACACAACACUUUCAAAGUCAAGCAGCCAAAGCUGCCCUUCAAUGUUCACAGCCUAUUUUUAUACUGCCUUCAAAAGCCUCAUGUUUAAUUGGUUAGUAACUUUCUUGCCACUCAAUUCAUUGGUUCAUAGGUGCUCAUGUGUAUAUGUGCUAAGGCCCUCUUCUUCAGCAGAUGUUCGCAUUUUUUCUUCAUGGAUUCUCAUGGGAUAGACUUCUUAUUUUCACAGGUGUCGGACAGUUUUCAUGAGCAAUGGCUGAUGUGCUUGCAGGUUCUCAUGGGACAGGCUCGCUGUUAGCUAUACUUAUCUGAAGUAACAAGGCCUGAACCAUGGUCUUACAAGGCCUUUCUUUUGUAGGUUUUACCUAUGUGUGACACUCCUGCUUUGAUAAUUGCACACUGUAUUGAAAUGGGCAGUUCACCUCAAAUUAAUGGGUUGAUGUUUUGGAGGGAGUAAAACCCAAAGCUACAAUAAGCCUCUUAAACCGUAAUUUUCUGCUUUGCUGUCAGAAUCACCUACAGAUUGCCUGUCCACGCUAACAGACUGCUUGGUUUGUAUCAAUCUUUUCCAUAGUACCCAUGCUCUGAAAUACAGAUUUCUUUUCCCCCUGCCUGUGUGACAUUGUCUAAGGCGAGUUCCACUCCAGCCACAGAAACAAUGGGACAAGAGGAGCUCUGUCAAGAAAAACACUCACUGCUGCUGCUAUCAUUACUGCCACCCACCCAGAUGGGCUGCAGAUUUAUCAGGAGUGAAGGCAGCUGCUAAAGAUCCACAAGGAAUAAGGUGUCCUUGGCCUUAAACUGUUAGGACAGUUUACUCUUCACAAGCAUACUUCCUGUUUAGUUUGCAUUGUUCUUAAUAUCCGAGGCUAGGUGAGGUAACCUGUUUGGAAAGAAAUACUAUUAGCAUAAUCACUGUUUUAUUAAAGCAAUGCUGUGAAGGCAUGCUGUUGUCAUUUACAGACAAAUGAAAGAUGAGAUCUUUCUUGAGAUCUUUCUUACAUCAAAGAAAUCAACAUCUUCUUGUGUGUGGGUGCCACAACCCACACAGCUGGAAUAUUUUGGAGGACUAAAGUCUAAAUAACAUACUUUGUUCACGGAAGAACAUGACAUGUUCUUGUUCACAAGAACAUGACAAGUACCCAGUAAUGUGGUUAAUACACAGCAAUGCACCAACAUUCUGGCUUUCUCUAUAUGAUUCCUUCACUUGUCUCCAUUGCUGUAGUGAGUUGAGAGGGGUGAGUUACAGUUUAAAGGCUUUAUGGAAGAAAAUGUUAUAAACAAGUUUUAAGCUGACACAGCUGCAAUGAGACUGCAGAAGUACACAGAAGGCACUAACUCCACAAUGACUGGAUUUUCUAAAUAACUGGGAAAUUACUGUAAGACAUCUUUGUGUUCUUCCUCAUGAGCUUAUGUAUUCAAUUACAUGGCAGAAUUUUGACUUCAGACAAACAUUCUGUUCAUAAACUAUAUCUGUAAACAAAAAAGUAUAA
ensembl:lncRNA